UCACUACUUCACAAGAUCAAAAGUGAAUAAAGAUUUCUCUUUUGACCAUUGCUUCGUUACGGAAAAAGGGAAAAAUGACUUUAGUGACAAUGAAGAUACUCUAAUCGAUACUACUAUCAAGGAUCAUAGAGUACAGGCACAAAGUGAAAGAAUUAUAGAAUUGACUAGAAAAUUAGAAGAACUCACUGAAAGAGCACAACGAGCAAAAAGUACGAGCAGUUUUUCCAUUACGGCUGACACUCUAA
rnacentral:lncRNA from 1 species